AUUAAUGAGUAAUAUUUCCAUAGUUUUUGUGAUUAUUAUUUAAUCACCCUUCUCACACUUUAUUUUAAUUCUCUCUACCAUAUGUUAUAUGCCUAAAUUUUGCUAAGUAUAGAAUUGAGAGAGUAGAGAGUUGAGAGUAUAUUAUGGAGAGAGUAAGGAUUGAUAGUGUAGAGAUUAGAGAGAGAUUAGAGUGAGAGAGAGAUCAAAGGCAUUAAUUGCCAAUAUUCUUUAAGAUUUGCAAAAUCUCUAUAAGAUCAUCUAAAUCUUGCAAAUCCAUUCAUAUCUCUCAAGCAACUCUCUCUCUCCUUCAUCCUCACCAAUCGGCCACCUCUCUCUCUCCUUUCUCUCUCAUAAUUCCUCCAUUGUCAACCAUUGGAGAGACCUCCGAAGCUUCACCAAAAUAUGCCAAACACAUAAAUCACCAACAAAAUUCCACCUAAACACCUCCUAUCAACUUGAAUCCAAGGAAAUCCUUGAAGAUUGGCUUCAAGACUAGUGAGAGAAAGUUUGUUUGUUGGUGAAAAACUUGAACACGAGCAGAGCAGGGAAGUAAGUAACUCCGCUUUGACGGGAGUUUUUGAGUAAGGUCUUCAGGCUAAGCGAGGAGCGAGAUUGGUCUGGUGCUGGCGGGGAAUUGUUAGAGGAUGUAUUUACUUUAUCGUAUUUCUAUUUUGACGAUAAAGUCUUGUUGAUUGAUAUACUUUGAUUUUCUUUUGAAUUUAAGCAAUGUACUCACGGUUAUAUGUCUUCAUACAUAUAAUCGGUUCACCUUUUGCUGCGAUACUCUGCAUAUUGUGAUUCCUUACGAAAAAUGAGCGAUACCCGUUUUGUUUUUGAUUUUGAAAUUCCUGAUAAUUAAAAAGUUAUAACGACAUUGACGAAAUUACCCUUGGGUUCAUUUAUGAUAAUUUCCUUAACACCUUUUGAUGCGAGCUUCCGCUUGAUGUUCGACCUAUCCUUCUUAUCUUUUAUUCUUUUAAAAAUAGUCGUAUCGAUACUCGUACCCCACUAUCACUAGUGUCGGGUUUUCGGGCUGCGACAGGGUGGUAUCAGAGCAGGUCAUCUGCUCUGAGUCUAUUGC